CAUGGAACUAGAAAAUAUCAUCCUGAAUGAGGUAACCCAAACCCAGAAGGACAAACAUGGUUGCUAUUGGCCAUGGAGUUUAUCGCCGCAACAGAAAAGUAACCAGGAGACCGUCAAAGGCUCGGGGGUAGAGUGCCCGUCUAGCACUCACAAUGCAUUGCCGUUAGUUUGAGUCACAGUACCUGACGAGGAAGAAAAGAAGUCGUUGCAAAUUCAAAUUGCAGUUUUGAAGAUUUGGACCUAUGUUUUUGUCUUCCUUAACAACUUUACAAUUUUAGAUCUUCCACCGGUUGUCUGCCUUCCCAGCACUGGAAUUACAAGCACGCACUAGCACUACCA